GGGAGUGUGGUCUAGUGGUAUGAUUCUCGCUUUGGGUAAAUUGGAUUAAUUCAAUUGAAACAAACAUGCGAGAGGCCCAGGGUUCAAUUCCCUGCUCUCCCC